CGUGAGCAGAGCAUCGCAAAACCUCUUCACUUUAUAUACGGAAAGUUUGAAGAUGCAGGACACCAACACAAACAAAAAUGCCGGUAUUAAAAACCAGCUUCGGGCACUUAAAGUCGUCAAAUCUUUUCUUCCAGGAAAUCAAACCCAGACAAACCUGAGAACAAAGAGAGCUGCAUCAGAC